UUAUUCCCUCUCGGAAGUGCGUUACUUAGUUCUCUGAACAAAAAAGUUCCAAAGCCCUAGGUCAGCAGUUCUCAACCUUUCUGCUGCCGCGGUCUUUUAAUACAGUUCCUCAAGUUGUGGUGACCACUCCCCAACCAUAAUGUUUUUUUGUCGCUACUUCAUAACUGUAACUUUGCCACUCUUACGACUAGUAAUGUAAAUAUCUGUGUUUUGUGAUGGUCUUAGUUGACACCUGAGAACGGGUUGUUCUACCCGCAAAAGGAGUCAGGAUCGCUGCCCUAGUAUGUUACCGGCUCUGGUGUAAGUGCUGAAAAACAGCAGAACCAAAUCAGGUAAAAGUCCUCAUUCUCUGACACCUGAUUAGCAAUAAACUGAAAUCGAUCGAAUCAGUGGACAAGGGAUCAAAGUCCUAUGCUAGGGAAAUGAAGCAGGCAAGAGGGCAGCUCAACUUUAGGGAAGACAAAGAAAAUGUAGAAGACGACCACUGAGAAAUUAAUAAUUGUUGUCGAGCCAUUAAGAUGUGAAUUGUAGAGACGCACUCCUGGGUGAGUGGGGCCGGUCUCUGUAGUAGAGUCCCAAGGUUUAAAACCUGACUCACUGCUUCGCUCCUAUCUGUACUACUUACGCUCUAUGAGCUUCAGUUUCCUCAUGUGAAAAGUACACGGAAUGACUCGUUUUGUUUUUUUUUUUUUUUUUUUGAUUUAUUCAUUUAUUAUAUAUAAGUACAUUGUAGUUGUCUUCAGAUACACCAGAAGAGGGCAUCAGAUCUCUUUACAGAUGGUUGUGAGCCACCAUGUGGUUGCUGGGAAUUGAACUCAGGACCUCUGGAAGAGCAGUCGGUGCUCUUAACCACUGAGCCAUCUCUCCAGCCCCCAAGAAUGACUCGUUUAAGGAAGAAUCAAAUGUAGAAAUGCUUGUUCGGGGCUGGAGAGUUGGCUUAGCGACUAUGCAUUUGUUGCUCUUGAAAGGAUCUAGGCUCAAUCACCAACGCGGUGACUCCCAGAUACCUGCAGUUCAAGUCCCAGAGGGUCUGGUGGACCUUUUUUUUUAAUCCCCUCCCAGCACUAGGCUCACACGUGCUGCAGUUACAUACGUGCAAGCUAAACAUGCAUAAUCUAAAAAAAAAUUAAUGUUCAUAAAGCAUCAAGUGAAAUGUCACUUAGGCCACAUAAAUGGUAGUUACUUCAUAGGAAGAAUUUGGUUGGUAGCAGGACCUUGCCAACUAAAAGGUCAAACUUACACUUUGCUCUCUCUCAUUUUUUUUAAAGAAAUACUUUAUAUGAGGUAUAUGAGUACACUGUAGUAGCUGUUCUCAUUACAGACGGUUGUGAGCCAUCAUGUGGUUGCUGGGAUUUGAACUCAGGACCUCUGGAAGAUCAGUCAGUGCUCUAACCACUGAGCCAUUUCUCCAGGCCAUGGAUUCCCUUUUAUUUGAGUUCCAGAGAAUGAGUCAUACUGCUCUCUCUCUCUCUCUCUCUCUCUCUCUCUCUCUCUCACACACACACACACUCACACACACACACACACACACACACACACACACACACACACUCACAAAGGUAAUCAGAAAAGUUACUAUACCUAGCCAGUUUGCAAAAUCCAACUCAAAUGUAAUGUCACUUCAAAGCAGUGAUCUUCUUUUUUUAAAAAGAUUUAUUUAAGUAUACGAGUACACUGUUGCUGUCUUCAGACACACCAGAAGAGGGCAUCGGAUCCCAUUUACAGAUGGUUGUGAGCCACCUUGUGGUUGCUGGGAUUUGAACUCAGGACCUCUGGAAGAGCAGUGGCCACUGAGCCACCUCUCCUGCCCCUAGCGGUGAUUUUCAUUGUCACCUUCAGAUAACUUUGGUCUUUAUUAGUUCCUUAAUAACCCAGACCUUUGGCUUGGUGGUGGUUGUACGAGCCCUUAGUCCCAACACCCAGGAGGCAGAGGUAGGCGGAUAUCUGUGUGAGGUCCAGUACACCAGGAAUACACAGAAAAAUGUUGUCUCAAAAAACAAAUGAACCAAAAUAAAAUAACCUAGGCCUAGCCGGGCAAUGGUGAUGCACACCUUUAAUCCCAGCACCUGGGAGGCAAAGGCAGGUGGAUCUCUGUGAGUUCCAGAACAAGUUCCAAAACAGCGAGAGCUACAAGGUGAGAACAUGUUUGAAAAACAACAAAAUCUAAAUCUUCCCUCAGCCUCCUAGAUCCUCCCCCUGACACUAAAAUUACAGAAUGUCGUGUCUGGUGUGGUAACACACCUGCAAUCCCAGCACUUGGGACAGAGUGGCAGAAGCAGAAGGAUUGCCUCAACUUUAUGACCAGCCUGGUUUACAUAGCAAGUCCAGGUCAACCAGAGGUGGAAGUUACAUCCUGAAACUGUCUCAAGAAGCCAAAAUAAGGAACUGGAGAUACGGAUCAGUAGUUAAGGGCACUGGAAGAUCUCCCAGACAACCCAGGUCUAGUUCCCAGCACCCUUAUGGUAGUUUAAAAACAGUCUAACUCCGGGGUUGGGGAUUUAGCUCAGCGGUAGAGCGCUUGCCUAGCGAGCGCAAGGCCCUGGGUUCGGUCCCCAGCUCCGAAAAAAAGAAAAAAGAAAAAGAAAAAAAAAAAAAAAACAGUCUAACUCCAGUCCCAGGAGAUCUAAAACCUUCUUCUGGCCUGUGGGCACUUGGUCCAUAUGUGCACAGACAUACACGAAAAUAAAACACCCAUACCUAUUAAAAAAAAAAGAAAGAGGGGGCUGGAGAGAUGGCUCAGCGGUUAAGAGCACCCGACUGCUCUUUCAGAGGUCAUGAGUUCAAUUCCCAGCAACCACAUGGUGGCUCACAACCAUCUGUAAAGAGAUCCGAUGCCCUCUUCUGGUGUAUCUGAAGACAGCUACAGUGUACUUAUAUAUAAUAAAUAAAUCUUUAAAAAAAAAAAAAAAAAAAAAAAAAAAAAAAAAAAAAGAAAGAAAUAUAAAAGCUAGUCAGGAUAUAUGAUAUGUGUCCAAAAAUAAUAAUAAAAAAAUACUAAUGCUACAAUUACCUUGCUAUGACGGUGGCUUCCGGGUGGCAGAAGACACUGUCUUUGGUUAGUGAGAAGGAAAUGAUUCAUUAGUUCUGUGAAUGUUUUGCCUCCACCCUGGUAAAUGCAGAGUUUACAGCUAAGAAUAGAAAAGGCUGAAGUCCCAGGCCCCGAGGAAUGUGCUGUCCUUUGAACCUCUUUAUUAGUCUAAAGCUAUUAGAGAAACAGGUUUGUUCAUCAGGAGGAAGUCCAGCCAAGAGCAAAGAGAACAGGUUUAGCAGGGAGGCUCUGAGUAAGACUCUGCUGGAAAGGAGUUACUGCUCUCGGUGUCUCCUUUUAGAGCCUAAGCUUGUUAUUAGCACAGGAUGUUUCUCAGUCCAACUCGAGGGGUGCCCUGCUAUAAGGUAGGACGGGAAUGGAGGCAACCUUCGUAUGGUGUGGCACUCCAACAAGACCUGAGUGUGGGAAGGACACACACAGAAACAAAAAGACACUGCCAGUUAUUAAGCACCAAGUCUGUAUCAGAAUCAGAGGAGUCGGUUUUUUUUUUCCUUGUUAUCUAAUGGGAUUCAGCUUUGAAAGCUUUUUACUGAUAACCAAAUUGAGCACCACAGCGGUGACAUAACUUGGGAAAAACAAACUGCAAAGCUAGUAAGUGAUGAAGUCAUUACUUGGGCUCACAUAGCCAGAAUCCAUGGUACACACAGGGCUGGCUGGUGUAUCGAGAACCUUCCAAAUCCCAGCCCAAGUGUACCGGUAACCUCCUGAUGCCUUUUGCUGUGAUUGGAGAGCCUUAUUUUCUCAGGUAAGUUCUUGGAAGUAAACUGCCUUUAUUCAGGGACAAGAUCAUGGCCCUAAAAUAUACCUUAGUCAUGCCUGGGAAGUUCCUGAGGCCAGAGGAAUACAAGUCCAAAGAUAACAUGUGCUGCAACAGUUCAAGGGCAGCCUAGGCUCCAGAGUAAGAUCCUGUCACAAAUGAAAAGGGGCAGGGGCUCUGGGGCAUAGGUGGUCAAGUGUUUGCCAUGAAAACAUGACACUCUGAGCUCUGCCCCAGAAGAGGCAGGCACAGGCAGAUCCUUGGGGUUCACUGGCUAGCCAGUCUCACUGAAUCAGUGACCCCCAGGCCAAUGUGAGAGACCCUGCCUCAAAAAAGCCAGGUGGAUGACUCCCAAGAAAUGACACAAGGUCGACUUCAGGCCUAAACUCACAGGGACACUCACUGGUAUACACACGGAUAUGCACAGACACCUACACAAGAACAAAUUAAAGAUCAAAUCAUUUUAAGAGGCAAGUUAAUGGGGAAGAAAAGAGGCUGGUAGGAAGAGGCACGACGCCACCUGUCCUGGUCAUUACCGAGAGACCACUCGGUGGACGCCUCCUACUUCAGAGUGAGUGCCACCUCACUGUACAGCACAGCCUGUCUCCCAGACGGGCGCCUUGAACUCCCUCCACUACCAACUACUAAAGCCCUGCUGCAGAGGCCGGCGGGGCUGCUUUGCUAUGUGGACACACGCUGUAGGUGAGGAUGGUCCAGCGAUUGUAAUCCAGGCUCCAAAGAUGACACCUGAGGCUUAUUUCGUUGAGGAAAGCAGGUACUAACACCGGCCUUGGAUUUCAGACCUAAGAAAUACCAAGGCAGGUGUGAUGGGUCACACCUGGUCUUAGGGUUUUGCUGCUGUGAGCAGACACCGUGACCAAGGCAACUCUUAUAAAGGACAACAUUUAAUUGAGGCUGGCUUACAGGUUUUUGUUGUGUUGUGCCCUGAAGUUAUCUGUAUUUUGAUGCUAAUUCCACUGCCCCAAGGACAGCUGCCUAGUCACUACUCAGAACUCAGAUGACUUCACCAGAACCACCUCCCCAUUGAAUUUGUAAAGUACAGGUGAGGGGCAGGUACAGAUAGAAGGAGGCCUGUCAUUGGAGGAGAAGGAAGGAUGGGCGGGAGAGAAGUUUGAAGGAAGAGGAGGAGACUAGGAGAGAAAGGAGGAGGCAGGAGACAGACAGAGAGAGGGUAGAAGCCAUGGCAGGUGAUGUUAAGAUUCUGCUCUGUGUAUUUACAGGUUGUUAUCAAUGUUCUUAAGGGAUGUUCUUACCGGGCUUUGUAUGUUUAAGGGGGCAAUUAUAUCUUAUCAAUUGAGUCAAAGAUUAUUGUGUUGUGUGUUCUUUUAUGUGAGGGUUUGAGUGUAAGAAAGUGCAGCUGGGAUGUGUUUCCGCCAAGAUAUCUAGCAGAUAUCUUGGGCACCGAGGUGGGGACCUAACGGGAUAAAAGACAACCAUACUUUUUUAUUAAUAUAUUUUUACAACAACAGGUUUAGAGGUUUGGUUCAUUGUCAUCAAGGCGGGAGCAUGGCAGCAUCCAGGCAGGCAUGGUGCAGGAGGAGCUGAGAGUUCUACAUCUUCAUCUGAAGGCUGCUAGAAGACUGACUUCCAGGCAGCUAGGAUGAGGGUCUUAAAUCCCAUGCCCAUAGCGACACACCUACUCCAACAAGGCCACACCUCCAAAUAGUGCCACUCCCUGGACCAAGCAUAUCCAACCCAUGACACCGGUAAUACCACCUCUUGGGAGUCUGAGGCAGGAGGAUUGCCCAGACUGGUCUACGUAGUGAGUUACCCAAGGUCACUUUGGGAUACAAGAUGCCGGCUUCACAAGCGUGCUCCGGUGCACACAGCACUCUUGAAUGAAAUGUAAGCAAGAGAGAUGAAAGUUCCCAGGCACAGGAGUGUGCAAAACAUCUUCCAGUUGUGUGAUGGUCUGAAGCAAACUCAAGGGUAAUGACCCGCCAGGGAAAGUGCCAGGAUUACAAAGGAUGACUCACAGACUGUGGUCCAAAUAAUCCAAAAAAUGGCUCCAACAAUUGAGAAGUUGUCAGUCACCGAGGCUGGAUGUCUCCCGUAGCCUUGGGUACACACUGGAAUCCUGAAGAAGUCGGCCGUGAUACCAGUGAAGGCAAAGACCUAGGCUUCCUUCCUCCAUCUCCUUUAAAUAUGAUUUCAGCAGGAGGAGUGGCCCAGGUUAGAGGGGGGGUCUUCCUGCCACAGAAGAGCUGGAUUAGAGGUGGGUCUUCCCAAUUGUAUUAGAUCGCGGAUGGCUUAGGUUCUUUGAAAGAACUCAGGCUCCUCUACCACUCUCUGUUGCGACAAAGCUGUCCAUGAACCCCGGAUCCUCCCGAUUCAGCCUCCCAGUGAUGGAAUUACACAUAUGCACCACCGAUCCAGCUUUGAACUACAAUUUGGAUAUUUGGUUUAUCUCAGCAAAACUCUUACUGGGAGCCAGGAGGUGGUGGCACAAGCCUUUGACCCCAGCACCGAGGAGGCAAAGGCAGGUAGAUCUCUGAGUUCAAGGUUAGCCUGGACUACCGAGCAAGUUCCAAGACAGCCAAGGCCGCACAGAGAAAUCCUGUCUCAAAAAGACAACAAAAAAACCUCAGUACUCCCCCAGUCUGAGGUGAGGUGAUUCGGUGGGUAAAGGCUUUUGUGUUUGACUGGAGACAAACACAAAAGAGAGUUCAGUUCCCAGAGACAGCAUGGAAGUGAAGAAAAGUGGUUCCUUAUGGUUGUCUUCUGACCUACACAGAGAGACAGAGAGACAGAGGUAGAGACAGACAGACACAGACAGACCGGGACAGACAGACAGACAGACACUACAGUUUUCUAAAGCAUUCACACACAGGCCCUGGGGAAAGGCUUAGAGGGUGAGUCCUUGCUGUGAAAACAAGAGAACCUGAGCUGAUGUCAUUCCAAUUGGUGUGAAAGCCAGGCAUGGCUGGGUGUGUCUGUACCCCCACCGUGGAGAGAUGGAUGCUGGGAACUCCCUGGCCAGGCUGCCUAGUCUAGCUUGAGGUUCAGUGGGAAACUCUGUCUCAGAAGAUAAGGUGGGCAGGAAUGCAUGGAGUGCACAUAAAUGCAUGCGGGGGACCCUCCUAUCCACAUAAAAAGACACAGAGGUUCUCUGUGAGGACCAGGCUGGCCUCAAACUCAGAGAUCCACUUAACCUCUGAUUGCUGGGAGUAAAGACCUGCGCCAGCACACCCAGCCAAUACAAGAAUAAAAUAAAAAGACAGAGGGCCAUUGAGGAAGUUAUCCAAUAUUCUUCUCUGGCCUCUACAUGGGUGUAUACUCGUGUAUCCCCCAAACAAAACAAAACAACUUCAUAUACCUAUAUAAUUUUUAUUAUGUUGUCUAAAUCAGAUGUCCAAGUUCUCUCGGUCUGAUGGACUACCAAGUUUGGGAACACAGAGCAAAGAACAGAUUAUAAAUCAAAUGUGGUACCCACGUGAAAUACAAAACUGCUUUUACCGAAGCCUUUUCUUUCACGGCGCCAGGGAUUGGACCCUCGUGCAUGUCAGGCAACAACUCUAACUCUACCAUGGCACUGAAUUCCCACAUCGACUGGAGACUCCCGCACCACUCUAUGCUAAGAUUAAAGACCUGUGCCACCAGCACCCAGCAGCCCUGAAGUCUUAAAGUUCAGAACUUGGCUCUUCCCUGCAGAGACAAACGCAACUCCUAGUUCUCUGAGAAGCCCCUGGAUCCUCAGCUUCCAGCCUGACUUAGUGGCUCAGGUCACAUGGGCUGGUUCGGGGAGUCCCUUCUUCUCUGCAGGGGCGGAGUCUGGGCAGCCCGUUGCCUGUGUUAGCCCAUGUCAGACUCUGCUCAGCGGUCCCACAUUUGGUGACAGACCCUGCCCCCUUGGACUCUAGACCUUAUUAUAUCUGUCUCAACUCCUGGUCACAGUCCAUUUCACCCUCACCUCUCUGUGGACCCCUUUCUGUGGCUAUGUUCCAGACCCCAGAAGACCCUGCCUCAAGAGGCUCAGUCUGACCAGAAGGACCUUAAGCAGGUUCCCUUUAUAGGGUAAUUCCUGUGUGUGUGUGUGUGGGGGGGGGGAAGGUCAUCCAUUACCAUAUACUUCUGGUACUCCUGAAGCUAUGUAAGCCAGAGAAUCGCUGGGAAGUGUCACAUAUCCGGUGUUAUUUUUUUGUUGUUGUUAUUGCAGGAUAUUUGGUCAUACUGUGAACCGGGGAGAUUGUGUUAUGGCCUGGCUCAGCCCUCACACAAACCUUUAAUCCCUCUGACUGGGAUACAGGCAGGCCCUUAGUACACACCUUUAAUCCCAAACAAGGAAGGUAAAGUUUAUAGAAGGAAGCACCGGUGUUUGAAAUCGAUGUCUAACCGAGAGGCAGACAAAGUGAGGAACCAGAGAAAGAUUUGACAGACUCAGAUCUGCUCUCCCGAGUAGAGAGGAAAGGGAAACAACUUAAGGAGGCAGUGCAGAGAGGGAGGGAAGAAUAAGGCAGUUUGACUGGGAGAGUUUUUACAGAGACUGGGUGAAGAGAGACCGAGCUAGAGAAUGAGAAGGAUCAGAAGAUUAGAUUGCUCUGUCAGAAGAAGGCCAGUCGGGGGGGUUGGGGAUUUAGCUCAGUGGUAGAGCGCUUGCCUAGCAAGCGCAAGGCCCUGGGUUCGGUCCCCAGCUCCGAAAAAAAGAAAAAAAAAAAAAAAAAAGGCCAGUCGGAGCAACUCCAUGAGAAGCCAAGAGACGCCAGAUUGAAUCAGUCAGUGUGGAGAGGCGUUUGAGCCAGAACCAGCCAGCCAGAGCUCAGAAAGAACUUGGAAGGGUGGGCUUAUUGAGCAGCAAAUCUCGGAAGCUGAAAACAUUUCUGGUCUAGAUCAGAUUGUACAUUGUACAGAGGUUAGAGGCUUUCAGGGCCAGACCUAUGCUAGCAGAAGGCAGUAAGCCGCUGAGAUGACGAUUACAAUUACAUCAUCAGGCAAGUAAAAGAUACCUUUUUUUGUUGUGUAAGUAGGGUUCUGUCAGGGAGGGACAGGGAGGCUGCAGUUCUCCCCUUGGGGCCAUGAUUUCCACCCAACCCCACCUAACAUGACAAUAGAUGUAUGUGUGAAAUUCAAAGAAGUAUGUGUUGGUCAGCGGUGGUACACCCCUUUAAUCCCAGCACUCAGGCUGAGGCUGAGGCAGUCAGAUCCCUGAGUUCAAGGCCAGUCUGGGCUAUAGAAUGAGUGCCAGAAUAGCUAUACAGGAAAACAGUGUCCAAAAAAAAAAAAAAAAAAAAAGAAAGAAAGAAAGAAAGGAAAAAAAAGGAAAAAUCGAAAUCAAGAGUGUCAUAUUAUGUUGGGUUGGGAUUUAGCUCAGUGGUAGAGCGCUUGCCUAGCAAGCGCAAGGCCCUGAGUUCGGUCCCCAGCUCUGAAAAAAAGAAGAAAAAAAAAAAAAGACUUGAAAAAUAAAGUGUCAUAUUGUCACAUCACAGAAUAGCCAGGACCCCAUAGGCCCUGUCUCAAACAAAACAAAACACAAGAGAAUGUCCUAUCAGCCAGGCACCAUGGCCCACCUAAGGUUCAGGGAUAUUAUGAAAGGUUAAAAGCCAGAAGAACAGGGGGUUUGCUGUGAGGAAUGUCAGAAGCUACACUUAUAAAGUCUUACCAACAAGGCUGUCAAACAAGGACAAGCUCCCAGAUGCCCCAAGCCCACACGGCCACAGCCCUACACAAAGAAUCAAAGGCCAGGAUUGCUGACAGCACGAGAAGCCAUCUCUCCUGGAGGGCGGGGAGCACAGCACCAAAUCAUACACAGUAGCAUCACACACAGAGUAGGUUGUACAUACAUGCACAUAUAUGUCUGAUGACAGUUAAUGAAAAAAGGCAGGGGGCUGGGGAUUUAGCUCAGUGGUAGAGCGCUUACCUAGGAAGCACAAGGCCCUGGGUUCGGUCCCCAGUUCCGGAAAAAAAAAAAAAAAAAAAAAAAGGCAAACCUACGGUAUGCCGAAGAAGGGUUUAGACUAAACAUCCGAGGGAGGAAAGGGAAGCAGAAAUUAUGAACACAUUUUUUUUUUAAUUUAGGUGGCCAAAAACAAAACGGUUUUAAUUUAGUACCUAGUACCGAAUGUGCUUCCAACAUAUUAAAAUCACCCAGACACAGGAACGUUACAAAUUACUGCAGAAACGUAUUUGGUACAGGAAUGUGUUGAACUGAUUUGAUAUUAAAAAAGAAACAAAACAAAACACAAAACAAAAAACAAGGGGCUGGGGAUUUAGCUCAGUGGUAGAGCGCUUGCCUAGGAAGCGCAAGGCCCUGGGUUCGGUCCCCAGCUCCGGAAAAAAAGAACCAAUAAAAAAAAAAAAAAAAAAACAAAAAACAAAAAACAAAAAACAAGCAGUUGGGUCAUAGGAGUCAGAUUUCAGGCUGAAGAAAUCAGGCCAUUCCCACCCAACAACUUGGUUGUGGGGCUGUUUUUUUUUUUUUUUUUUUACAGCCUCUAGUGUGUCAUCCUGCCCCAGACCACAUCACAUGGUGGGGAACUCCCUAACGCCCUCAGAAAGAAUAUAAAAGUCCAGGUCAGAUGCUUCCUUUUGAUCAGGAGAUUUCCUUGAAAGCUCUCCGGAGCCUCUUCACCUUGUCUCCCCAACUCCUGACCCUCCCUCCUGCCUCUCCUCUCCACACUCCUGACCCUCCCUAUGCCCUUCCCCUCCCCUCCUCUUCCCCAGGCCGCCAUCUCCUUUUAUCUUCCUUUAAGCUUUCUCUCCUAGCGAGGCUCCUCUCUGUUGUUCUGUGGUUUGUUUGGAGACGGGGGUCUCCUAUGGCCCUGGCUAGUUUGGAACCCACAGCCUCUGCCUCCUCAAGUGUCAGGAUUAAAGUCAAGCCAACAGAGCAGGGAUCACCCCUGGGCUCUAUUUAUAUAUAUUUUAUGUAGAUUGGUAUUUUGUCUGCAUGUACACCUGCACACCAGAUACGGCAUCAGACCGUAGUGAACUGCCCUGUGGGUGCUGGGAAUUGAACUCAGGACCUUUGGAAGAGCAGUUAAGGCCCUCACUCCCACCCCUACCACCGUCCCCAGGUUUUAAAUAGAAGCCUGCGGUUCCAUUAAGGCAUCCUUACAUCAGCUCUGUAAUGAUGCUGCUUUUAAAAUGCUCUCCCGGGUUGGGGAUUUAGCUCAGUGGUAGAGCGCUUGCCUAUCAGGCGCAAGGCCCUGGGUUCGGUCCCCAGCUCCGAAAAAUAGAAAAGAAAAAAAAAACAAAAACACAUAAAAUGCUCUCCCUCCUCCGGGCCACACCCAUGCCCUGCCCACCUUGGUCAUGAGGUUCCUCUCCUACAAAACUCAUUUCUGAAGGAAGAUUCCCUUCUGGGAGGGAGAUCUCCUUUUUUUUUUUUUUUUUGGUUCUUUUUUUUCGGAGCUGGGGACCGAACCCAGGGCCUUGCGCUUCCUAGGUAAGCGCUCUACCACUGAGCUAAAUCCCCAGCCCCCUCCUUUUUCUAACACAAGGCGGUAACAUCCCGCAGUUGUGACCAGCUAGUUCUACAAACUCACGUGAUAGAGCAGAAUCGAGACCGAAAGCUGGGGAACGUAAGAGGGAGGGGAGAAAAGGAAGUCCCAGAAGCAGAUCUACACACUCCUCACACCCACUUCCUGCUCUAGGGGCCGAUGGCUCUCUACAACUUGUACCAGAACUUUCCUGGGAAGAAGGUGUUAAGACAGGGCCUGAGGUAUCUCUGCUAUUUGGUGGACUCUUCUUUCUUCCACCCUCCCAGCCCUCUAACACUGGAUAAGAGAGAAGAAAGGACAGAGGGGAAAGGAAAGAGAUCUCUGAGUAAAGUCAGGGGUCGGAAAAGGGUGCCGUUAUCAUCAGACUGCUUCCUGCUGAUUAUGGGAGUCAUACUGCAGUUUCUUGGGGCAAGUUUGAUCUUCACAGUCAGGAUAUAUAAUCCUUUCUUCCUUUCUUCUCUUCCUCCUCCUCGUCCUCCUCUUCCUCUUUUUCGAGCCUGACUACCUAACAAACCACGACCAACAACCAACAACCCCCCCCAUGCUAGCUUACGGGCAGUUCCUCUGGCCUGCUCUCGGGGACCUAGCAAUUGCUUAUGUCACGACGGGCCACUUGUGUCACGACGGGCCACUGCCUCAGGUGUGUCUUGUGUGUGCUCCAUAUAAAAACCCACCUGUCAUUCAGCAGCUCACUCUUUCCCCAGUUUCCCCUCUAUCUGUUCUCUGCAGGCGCCCUCCUUUCUCUCUCUGCCCUCACAGUUCUGUCCACUUGUCUGCUUCUAUCUCCUUCCCAGGCCUCCACCCCUCCCCCUCCCCCAAUAAACCUCCU